rnacentral:rRNA from 1 species
AGGUAACACGAAAUCGUACCCCAAACCGACACAGGUGGUCAGGUAGAGAAUACCAAGGCGCUUGAGAGAACUCGGGUGAAGGAACUAGGCAAAAUGGUGCCGUAACUUCGGGAGAAGGCACGCUGAUAUGUAGGUGAAGCCCCUGCGGGCGGAGCUGAAAUCAGUCGAAGAUACCAGCUGGCUGCAACUGUUUAUUAAAAACACAGCACUGUGCAAACACGAAAGUGGACGUAUACGGUGUGACGCCUGCCCGGU